CUACGUGCCACCACCCCCGGUAAUACGUAGNUGCCAACCNUUGUCCGGAUUUACUGGGUGUGAAAGGGCGUGUAGGCGGGAGAGCAAGUCAGAUGUGAAAUCUAUGGGCUUAACCCAUAAACUGCAUUUGAAACUGUUCUUCUUGAGUAUCGNAGAGGCAGGCGGAAUUCNUAGUGUAGCGGUGAAAUGCGUAGAUAUUAGGAGGAACACCAGUGGCGAAGGCGGCCUGCUGGACGACAACUGACGCUGAGGCGCGAAAGCGUGGGGAGCAAACAGGAUUAGAUACCCUGGUAGUCCACGCUGUAAACGAUGAAUACUAGGUGUGGGAGGACUGACCCCUUCCGUGCCGCAGUUAACACAAUAAGUAUUCCACCUGGGGAGUACGACCGCAAGGUUGAAACUCAAAGGAAUUGACGGGGGCCCGCACAAGCAGUGGAUUAUGUGGUUUAAUUCGACGCAACGCGAAGAACCUUACCAGGAUUUGACAUCCCACUAACGAAGCAGAGAUGCAUUAGGUGCCCUUCGGGGAAAGUGGAGACAGGUGGUGCAUGGUUGUCGUCAGCUCGUGUCGU
rnacentral:rRNA from 1 species